CGCGUGGAAACGUGCCUUUCACUACGGAAUAGCUUUUGGAAACGAAAGGUAAUACCGUAUACGCCCUCCGGGGAAAGAUUUAUCGGUGAAAGAUCGGUCCGCGUUAGAUUAGCUAGUUGGUGAGGUAAGAGCUCACCAAGGCGACGAUCUAUAGCUGGUCUGAGAGGAUGAUCAGCCACACUGGGACUGAGACACGGCCCAGACUCCUACGGGAGGCAGCAGUGGGGAAUAUUGCACAAUGGGCGCAAGCCUGAUGCAGCCAUGCCGCGUGAAUGAUGAAGGCCUUAGGGUUGUAAAAUU
rnacentral:rRNA from 1 species